UGGAAAUUGCAGAGAAGAGGGUAGCAACGAAAGCAGCAUUGGGUAGAAUAGGGUGGAGGGAGGUCAAAUAAGAAGUAAGAAGCCCAACGAAAAGAGUGAAAGAAAGCUUAGAUAGAUUAAAAAAUUGAACCCAUCUGGGAUUAUAAUCGAGAGAGGACAAAAAUCAAUGGAACCAAUUUUCUUGCUGCUGCGAUGAUUGUGGUGGGAUUGGUGGUAAGGAGAGGGAGAUGAGAGAAUGGAGGGUGGUGAGCGAAAAU
rnacentral:lncRNA from 1 species